CGCGUAGGAAUCUACCCGAUAGUGGGGGACAACUUGGGGAAACCCAAGCUAAUACCGCAUACGCCCUAAGGGGGAAAGCGGGGGAUCUUCGGACCUCGCGCUAUCGGAUGAGCCUGCGUAGGAUUAGCUAGUUGGUGGGGUAAAGGCUCACCAAGGCGACGAUCCUUAGCUGGUCUGAGAGGAUGAUCAGCCACACUGGGACUGAGACACGGCCCAGACUCCUACGGGAGGCAGCAGUGGGGAAUAUUGCGCAAUGGGCGAAAGCCUGACGCAGCCAUGCCGCGUGUGUGAAGAAGGCCC
rnacentral:rRNA from 1 species